rnacentral:tRNA from 1 species
GUUUAUAUAAUUUAAAUAAGAUAUUAGACUGUGACUCUGA